AACUAUUAUAUUUACUUAUCAUUUUUUUAUAAAUAUUUAAAAAUAAAAACCUACAGCAGUAAUUCUACAGCAAUAAAAGUUACAGCUACAGCCAACACAGCUACAGCAAAAUCUCUACAGCGAAAAUUCUACAGUUACAGCCCAACCAAUCACCCACCAAAUAUAAGUCGACUGUUUUGAUAUAGUCGGUAGAGAAAAAAUUAAGUCG
rnacentral:sRNA from 1 species